rnacentral:rRNA from 1 species
AUUGAACGCUGGCGGCAGGCCUAACACAUGCAAGUCGAGCGGAUGAAGAGAGCUUGCUCUCUGAUUUAGCGGCGGACGGGUGAGUAAUGCCUAGGAAUCUGCCUGGUAGUGGGGGAUAACGUCCGGAAACGGGCGCUAAUACCGCAUACGUCCUACGGGAGAAAGCAGGGGACCUUCGGGCCUUGCGCUAUCAGAUGAGCCUAGGUCGGAUUAGCUAGUUGGUGAGGUAAUGGCUCACCAAGGCUACGAUCCGUAACUGGUCUGAGAGGAUGAUCAGUCACACUGGAACUGAGACACGGUCCAGACUCCUACGGGAGGCAGCAGUGGGGAAUAUUGGACAAUGGGCGAAAGCCUGAUCCAGCCAUGCCGCGUGUGUGAAGAAGGCCUUCGGGUCGUAAAGCACUUUAAGUUGGGAGGAAGGGCUCAUAGCGAAUACCUGUGAGUUUUGACGUUACCAACAGAAUAAGCACCGGCUAACUUCGUGCCAGCAGCCGCCGUAAAAC